rnacentral:lncRNA from 10 species
UGAAGUCCUGAUGCAUACUAUGACAUGGAUGAAGUUUGACAAUAUUACGCCAAGGGGAAGAAUACAAAAGAGCAAAAAUGAAACACAAAAAGGCCAGAUAUUGUAUGAUUCCAUUUAUAUGAAAUGCCCGCAAUAGGUGAAUCCGUAGAGAUAGAAAGUAGGUUAGGGUUGCCAAGGGCUAGGGGGAGGGGAAAUGGGAAGCUCAUCACUACAGGGUUGCUUUUUUAUUUUUCUUUUUUCUUCUUCUUCUUUUUUUUUGUUUGAGACGGAAUCUCAGUCUGUCACCCAGGCUGGAGUGCAGUGGUGCGAUCUCGGCUCACUGCAACCUCCACCUCCCGGGUUCAAGAGAUUCUCCUGCCUCAGCCUCCUGAGUAGCUGGGAUUACAGGUGCGUGCCACCAGGCCUCGCUAAUUGUUUUGUAUUUUUAGUAGAGAUGGGGUUUCUCCAUGUUAGCCAGGAUGGUCUCAAUCUCCUGACCUCGUGAUCCACCCGCCUCGGUCUCCCAAAGUGCUGGGAUUACAGGCGUGAGCCACCGUGCCCGGCCACUACAGGGUUGCUUUAUGGGGGGAUGGAAUGUUCUGGAAUCUGAUGGUAAUGGUUGUACGACCUUGUGAAUAUGCUAAUCCCCCACUGAAUUUUUACUUCCAAGGGGUCAAUUUUAUCUAAUAAAUAGCAAAAGGCAACUGAGUAGACCUAGGGCUGGGGGGACAUGAGGAGCCACCACUGGUUUGUCACCUAGCAGAAUAAAGUUUAAUCUCUGUACCAUAGCCUGUGAGGGGCUGGGGGCCUGCUUCAUGUGGGCUGG